ACGUCCAAUAACUACACCGGUGUUUUACUGAUAAGGCAAGUCGGUAGGAUAGAGGCUGUAAUGGACUACCAGGGGUAUUAGAUGAAUAAUAUAAUCAAUUAUACAAAUUCAGGAGCUAAUCAGAGAACAGUAGACAGUUGGAAAAUAAUUAAUGGCACGGACCCGGUGAUGCCAACGCUAACCCACCUGACAACGCAAACACAGCAGGAUCAAACUCAGCCUCGACAGGGACAUCCAAUAGUCAUUCGGGAUAUUACGGAUAUAAUAUCAUCUUCUUCAACUGCAGUAUCAAAAAAAGGGCGAAAAAUGUAUCAGUUCAGAUGGGUUCACCAUGAUAUCACCCAUUGAAUCGCGACGGAGUAAACUACACAUGAUGGUUCAGAAAGAAGAGGAGGACAUACAGAGAAGCUAGGUGGUUCUGUGAGGCCAGGGAGAGGCACCUGGUGGAGUUAAGCCAAGCUAAACUGCAGAAACAGGUAUUCCAUCAUCACAUUUUAAAGUAAAGACUUAAUUAUUAGAUUAUGUCCAGAGAAAUUGUAUAUACCAUCCCACUUGUGCAAUGGGCAUGGAAUGUAAAACACUCACAUUCUACUCAUCUAUUAAUGAUGCCUUCUAAAUAGCCUUUAACAGACAGAAUGAGUAAAUUGUCUACUUGGGUUGUGUGUUAAGCUGAGAAAAGAGGAGAUGGACCGGCAACGGAGACAGGCAGAGGAAAAGGAGUAUGAGAGGAUGAAGGCUAAACAGCAGGAGAACGUCAGAGAGUGUUAGCAAUGUACAAAUAAAUCCCUUACUUACUGCCACUGUAUUGUUCUUUAGGUAUUUUCUCUGUAAUACCAUUUCAAGCCAAUAGAGCUCACUGCAGACAGCUGGCACACUGAAACAAUCCUAGAUAUAGUGAUUGAAUGAGAGAGAAAUAGAGAGACGGAGAAAAGGAUAUCCACACCCAUAGGAGAGUUUCCAGGAAUGACAUGUUACAGUAGAGAGAACUGUUUGACAUGGCCUCCUGAGUGGCGCAGUGGUCUAAGGCACUGCAUCGCAGUCACUAUAGACCCGGGUUCGAUCCCAGGCUGUGUCACAGCUGGCCAUGACUGGCAGACACGUGAGGCUGCGAGCAAUUGUCCCAGUGUUGUACAGGUUAUGGGAGGGGCUGGCCAGCCAGGAUUUCCUUGUCCAUUGCGCUCCAGCGACUCCUUGGGCUCCUGCAAGCUGACCCUGGUUGGCAGCUGGACGGUGUUUCCUCUGACACAUUGGUGCGGCUGGCUUCCAGGCUAAGAGUGUCAGGAAGCAGUGCGGCUUGGCAGGGUCGUGUUUUGGAGGGUCGUGUCAUGGCUCUUGACCUUUGCCUCUCUUGAGUCCGUAGGAGAGUUGCAGCAAUGGGACAAGGAGAAAAAGGGGUAAAAAAUAAAUAAAAAAUACAUAUUUGGCUGGCUCUCUCUGGUUAAUACUGACAGAGCUUUCCUACAGUUUAUUUUACCAUUUUCAUAAAUAUCUGGUGAAUUUUCAAAUCUCGGUACAAAACUCCAAACUGGUAACACCAGCCAGUCUUGCAUUCAAACAUUUCAUUGUGCAUUCAUUUUGUUUAUAGACAUCUUUCAUGAUACAACCAUUGAUCCAAAAUAUUUGUUUAUAAUGAGUACAUUGGUUUAAUUACCAAAACAGAACAUAAUGAUAUCUUCUCAAUUUAGUUAUUUUAAUAAUCCAGUUAAUCCAGUAGCAAACUAAUUUGAAAGAAGCAAAAUGUUUAGCAGGCACUAGUUUGCAUCAAGCCUGUCUUGAGCAUUUGGCCAUAGGUUCUCAUCAAAAUCGCAGUAAAUAUCCAAAUUUUUCAUGCACCAGGGGAAACAUCUUUUGGCAUGGUGAAUCCAAGCCGUACAUAGGUCUGGAUUGAAAUCAUUGCAUGCCUCAUCCAAUGCCUGUAAGUGGGUGGUACGCUCAUGGGGAUCUUCCACCUGUAUAGUAAUUGUAUUGUACAUAUUUAUUGUAGUGGUCAUGUAUGUGGCUCAGUUCAUUAGAGCAUGGCACUGGCAACCCCAGAAUUGUGGGUUAGAUUCCCACUGGGGUCACAUAACAAAUUGUAUUUUUAUUUAUUGAACCUUUAUUUAACUAGGCAAGUCAGUGAAAAACAAAUUCUUGUUUAAAAUGACGGCCUGCCCCGGCCAAACAUGGACGACGCUGGGCCAAUUGUGCACCACCCUAUGGGACUACCAAUCACGGCCGUAUGUGAUACAGCCUGGAAUCGAACCAGGGACUGUAGUGACACCUCUCUUCAAUAAAGCAGUGUGAACCCCCACCACCAUCAAAAAUACCCCAGCAACUUCAUUUUGGGUGCAUGUUUACUGUAUAGGGGAUGCAUUUCUUUCUUGUUUAGGACUUUCUGGAUAAUUGGUGUUAUAUUGUAUUACUGCACUGUAGGAGCUAGAAACACAAGCAUUUUGCUGCACCUGCUGUAUCAUCUGCGUACCCGACCAAGACACUUUGACAACCCGGUCCUAGGUCGUGACUCAGAGUUCCAGUCUGAGAGACAGGAGGAGAGGUGUAGAUGAAGUAAUCCAUCAGGACAACGCCAGAGGACAGAGCAGCUCCUUCAGAGGGUGGAGAGGUCAGACGCAGCUCCAGUGGCAUCGACUAGUGCCUCACACACAUCACCCUUGAGGUGUUGUGUCGUGGUGAUGCUGCAGACAGAGGAGAGCCGAAAAGAAGGGCCCCAGGGCAGGGUUUGAGUAUGUGUUGUUAGGGAGGGGUUUCAUACUGUACCGACCGACAACCGUAUUAUGUGGCAACCAGUGGUGUAAAGUACUUUAGUAAAAAUACUUGAAAGUACUACUUAAGUAGGUUUUUGGGGUAUCUGUACUUUACUUUACUAUUUAUAUAUUUUACAAGUUUUACUUCACUACAUUCCUAAAGAAAAUCAUCUACUUUUUACGUCAUACAUUUUCCCUGACACCAAAAGUACUCGUUACAUUUUGAAUGCUUAGCAGGACAGGAAAAUGGUAUAAUUCACACACUUAUCAAGAGAACAUCCCUGGUUAUCUCUACUGCCCCUGAUCUGGCGGACUCACUAAACACAUGCUUCAUUUGUAAAUGAUGUCUGAAUGUUGGAGUGUGCCCCUGGCUAUCCAUAAAUAAAUACCAUUUUAAAAUGUU